AUCAACUUUCGAUGGUAGGAUAGAGGCCUACCAUGGUGGUAACGGGUAACGGGGUGUUAGGGCACGACACCGGAGAGGGAGCCUGAGAAACGGCUACCACAUCCAAGGAUGGCAGCAGGCGCGCAAAUUACCCAAUCCCGACACGGGGAGGUAGUGACAAUAAAUAACAAUACGGGGUUCUUUAGGACUUCGUAAUUGGAAUGAGUACAAUUUAAAUCUCUUAACGAGGAACAAUUGGAGGGCAAGUCUGGUGCCAGCAGCCGCGGUAAUUCCAGCUCCAAUAGCGUAUAUUAAAGUUGUUGCAGUUAAAAAGCUCGUAGUUGAAUUUCGGGGUCGGUAGGUUGGUCAUGCCAUCGGUAUGCACUGGUCUCACCGAUUCCUCCCUCUUGUAGAAGCGUAAUGCCAUUAAGUUGGUGUUGCGGGGAAACAGGACUGUUACUUUGAAAAAAUUAGAGUGUUUAAAGCAGGCUAACGCUUGAAUACAUUAGCAUGGAAUAAUGAAAUAGGACGUCGAUCCUAUUUUGUUGGUUUCUAGGGUUGACGUAAUGAUUAAUAGGGAUAGUUGGGGGCAUUAGUAUUCAAUUGUCAGAGGUGAAAUUCUUGGAUUUAUUGAAGACUAACUACUGCGAAAGCAUUUGCCAAGGAUGUUUUCAUUAAUCAAGAACGAAAGUUAGGGGAUCGAAGACGAUCAGAUACCGUCGUAGUCUUAACCAUAAACUAUGCCGACUAGGGAUCGGAUGAUGUUAAUUUUUUAAUGACUCAUUCGGCGCCUUACGGGAAACCAAAGUGUUUGGGUUC
rnacentral:rRNA from 1 species